GGGGGUGGGAGCGUGGGAGGGGGGCUGCCUCCUCUCUCUCCUCCCUCUACCCCUCCUUUCUUCUCUCUCUCUCUUCCCCUCCCUCCUCGCUUACCUCGCCUCUCUCCCUCUAUCUCUCCCUCAUUUCCUUUCUUUCUCUUCUCCCUCUCUCCUCCAGUCCCCCCCCCCACCCUCUUUCUUACUCUCCCCUCCCUCUCUCCUCUCCUUCUCUCGCCCUCCCUCUCUCUUCUCCCUCUCCCUUCAAGUCUGGCACUGAACGCGAACUGUUUUGCUUUGCUCCGAGAAGAGUGCAGACACAGAACGUGAAAUCCCGAGCUUUUUUUUUUUUUUUGCGUGGUGCAUUUAAAACGCUUCCUUAUUUAUAUUACCCUCAUUCCCUCACCUCUCCCACCCCCUCACCAGCCUUUCCAAAUUUCCCUAGAAAUCUCUAUAAAGCGUGCGGAGGGGAAAACAUUUGCACAAAAAGUGAAGGAGCUCGCCAAGGUAGUCAAACCUGCCCUGACACCUGGACGUCUGCAUGAGGGGUGGUCACUGAAGGAGGAGUUGUCAGAGGCCAUAGGAGCUAAAGAGUCUGUGCA
rnacentral:lncRNA from 1 species